AAAAUGUACUAGAGCUUACUAGACCAGCUUCAGAGAAAAAUCUCAGCAAGUCUGAAGAGCAAAAGCAUUUGAUUUACGAGCAGUUAAACACCUUAAAUGCUAUUAUAUUGUAGCAAGUAGGCUGCCUGAAUCACCACUCGAUAAUUACAAUUUAAGACAAUAAUAUAUCAACCAUACCAUACCAAUUAGAUCCGCUAGAUUUUUAAAAAUACACAUCAUAGCAAUAAUUGGUGAAAGUUGAUUAAUUUUGUUAUUGGGUUCUGCAUUCAUCUCAAAGGCACAUGAUUUAUAAGCCAAAGAGCCAAACUCCAG
rnacentral:lncRNA from 1 species